rnacentral:rRNA from 1 species
UGAGGAAUAUUGGUCAAUGGACGCAAGUCUGAACCAGCCAAGUAGCGUGCAGGAUGACGGCCCUAUGGGUUGUAAACUGCUUUUAUAUGGGGAUAAAGUGGGGAACGUGUUCCCUUUUGCAGGUACCAUAUGAAUAAGGACCGGCUAAUUCCGUGCCCGCAGCCGCGGUAAUACGGAAGGUUCGGGCGUUAUCCGGAUUUAUUGGGUUUAAAGGGAGCGUAGGCCGUUUGGUAAGCGUGUUGUGAAAUGUAGGAGCUCAACUUCUAGAUUGCAGCGCGAACUGUCAGACUUGAGUGCGCACAACGUAGGCGGAAUUCAUGGUGUAGCGGUGAAAUGCUUAGAUAUCAUGAAGAACUCCGAUUGCGAAGGCAGCUUACGGGAGCGCAACUGACGCUGAAGCUCGAAGGUGCGGGUAUCGAACAGG